rnacentral:rRNA from 1 species
CCUACGGGAGGCAGCAGUGGGGAAUAUUGCGCAAUGGGCGAAAGCCUGACGCAGCGACGCCGCGUGAGGGAUGAAGGUUUUCGGAUCGUAAACCUCUGUCAGCAGGGAAGAACGGUCACUGUGCUAAUCAGCAGUGAAUUGACGGUACCUGCAAAGGAAGCACCGGCUAACUCCGUGCCAGCAGCCGCGGUAAUACGGAGGGUGCGAGCGUUAAUCGGAAUUACUGGGCGUAAAGCGCUCGUAGGCGGUAUGUCAAGUCAAGGGUGAAAUCCCCGCGCUCAACGUGGGAACUGCCUUUGAAACUGGCAAACUGGAGUGUGUGAGAGGAUAGUGGAAUUCGAGGUGUAGGAGUGAAAUGCGUAGAUAUCUGGAGGAACAUCAGUGGCGAAGGCGACUAUCUGGCACAUAACUGACGCUGAGGAGCGAAAGCGUGGGUAGCAAACAGGAUUAGAUACCCGAGUAGUC